GAUGAACGCUGGCGGCGUGCCUAAUACAUGCAAGUCGAGCGAACAGACGAGGAGCUUGCUCCCCUGACGUUAGCGGCGGACGGGUGAGUAACACGUGAUAACCUACCUAUAAGACUGGGAUAACUUCGGGAAACCGGAGCUCAUACCGGACACUAUCUUCAACCGCAUGGUUCCAUAGUGACAGACGGUUUUGCUGUCACUUAUAAAUGGAUCCCCGCCGCAUUAGCUAGUUGGUAAGGUAACGGCUUACCAAGGCAACGAUGCGUAGCCGACCUGAGAGGAUGAUCAGCCACACUGGAACUGAGACACGGUCCAGACUCCUACGGGAGGCAGCAGUAGGGAAUCUUGCACAAUGGGCGAAAGCCUGACGGAGCAACGCCGCGUGAGUGAAGAAGGUCUUCGGAUCGUAAAGCUCUGUUGUUAGGGAAGAACAGAUGUGUAAGAAACUAUGCACGUCUUGACGGUACCUAAACAGAAAGCCACGGCUAACUACGUG
rnacentral:rRNA from 1 species